UACGUAGGGGGCAAGCGUUGUCCGGAAUCAUUGGGCGUAAAGAGCGCGUAGGCGGCCUUGUAAGUCCGCUGUGAAAGUCAAGGGCUCAACCCUUGGAUGCCGGUGGAUACUGCAGGGCUAGAGUCCGGAAGAGGCGAGUGGAAUUCCUGGUGUAGCGGUGAAAUGCGCAGAUAUCAGGAGGAACACCGAUUGCGAAGGCAGCUCGCUGGGACGUCACUGACGCUGAGACGCGAAAGCGUGGGGAGCAAACAGG
rnacentral:rRNA from 1 species